rnacentral:misc_RNA from 1 species
GAAAAUGUGGAUGAAGUAGUAAAAUAUUUAUGGGAAUCUAGGAAGAGGUUAUGUUAUAAUACCUAUGAGAUGGGAGGCAAACAAUUCCAGUCUAGUUAUAUGCUUAACUAUCUCUUUACAAUUGCAACGAAUUUAUAGAUGAUAGUUGUGGAAAGCGCCAAAAAUAUUCUCUCUCAAAUGUCAAGGUGCUUCCUUUUGUCAAAAUAAUUUUGGAAUAAGUAUGCUUAAUUAGAUUAUUGAAC